UGCUAGCCGCGCUACUGGGUAGACCAAACGCAACCGGGUCAGAAGUGCUAGCCGCAUUACUGGGUAGACCGGGCGGGACCGGGUCUCAAGAUUUCCUUACACCCGGGGCGUCAGGUAGGAUGAACCCGUUCGGAGGGAUGUUCGGCCAAAUGAACGCAUAAACCCUGAAUUCUAGGCGUUUGGAAUUGAACUUUUGACCUGCGACCUUAGUACAUGUAGUCAUACUGAUGACACCAAUGUGAUAAAGAGGUCAAAAGAAGAAACAUACAUGAACGGAUACACUUUUUUGGAAUAUAUACAACAUACCUAGAAUGAGUGUUGAAAUUUAUUCAUUGUGAUCAUUUUUAGUUUUUGUAUCGAUAUGUUUGCGUUCUUACUGUACAACAACACAACGAUGUUCCGUCUGAAUAAGUGUGGACGAUGUUAAUAAAGGAAACUGCGUGAAUGAAAAAGAUACUUCAAUAAACAAAUGCUAUUAUUCAAA